rnacentral:snRNA from 1 species
GUGCUAACUUUGGCAGCACAUAUAUUAAAAUUGGAACAUAACAAAGAAGAUUAUCAUGGUCCUUGCACAUGCAUGUGCACAAAUUCAUGUAGCNUUUCAUAUUUUU